AUUGAACGCUGGCGGCAGGCCUAACACAUGCAAGUCGAGCGGAUGAAGGGAGCUUGCUCCUGGAUUCAGCGGCGGACGGGUGAGUAAUGCCUAGGAAUCUGCCUGGUAGUGGGGGAUAACGUCCGGAAACGGGCGCUAAUACCGCAUACGUUCUGAGGGAGAAAGUGGGGGAUCUUCGGACCUCACGCUAUCAGAUGAGCCUAGGUCGGAUUAGCUAGUUGGUGGGGUAAAGGCCUACCAAGGCGACGAUCCGUAACUGGUCUGAGAGGUUGAUCAGUCACACUGGAACUGGGACACGGUCCAGACUCCUACGGGAGGCAGAAGUGGGGAAUAUUGGACAAUGGGCGAAAGCCUGACCCAGCACUGCCGGGUGGGUGAAGAAGGUCUUCGGAUUGUAAAGCACUUUAAGUUGGGAGGAAGGGCAGUAAGUUAAUAACUUGCUGUUUUGACGUUACCAACAGAAUAAGCACCGGCUAACUUCGUG
rnacentral:rRNA from 1 species